rnacentral:lncRNA from 1 species
UGAAAGAAGGCUCUCACGUUUCAUAGAAAUGGGCUCCAAAUAUAUCACGGCUUGGAGCUGGAAUAGCAAAAAAGAAGAAAGUUGUUGCUUGAUUCAUUAAUUAAAAAGUGUUAAAUUCUUGCUGCAGCUCNCGUCAAGUUGCCACCGAGAAAAGCAAGGAAUUAAUUCAUUAUUUAAUUAAAAGGGCAUGAGCUUGAGCAACAGAAAAUAUGGGGUGCGUCCAGCAGGUUCACAGCCCACAAACAUGUGCUAACUCACUAGGGAGUGCAGCAUGCAGUAAUUAAAAGGGAGGUGCAGCUCACGACCCACUUGCAAUCAGCAAGCCCGUCCAGCACAAAAGAAACUAUAACAUUCAGCAAAAAAGAAGGUGCGUUGGGAGAAAAAAAUAGGAGCACCCAACAUUGAAUAAGAAGAACGUUGCUUCUAGGAGAGUUGUUGCCUUCAUGCUUACUGCACGUGGCCCAACACCAACAUUUUUCUUCAGCCAGCAGCUUGGAGCAACACGAGUCAACACGUAGCAAUGCAAGGGCCCAUGGAAAAGUUAAAUUGUANGAACAUCAUGUGAAGAAGGUNGUGAUUCAUUUUGAGGUGNUNGAUAAAAGUAGNUGCAGCAACCGGAACCAGGGGGUGGCAACAACAAACAUCUUCAUGGCCCAUGAGAUUCACACCAGCAGAUCCAGCAACACACCACGUGGAGAGGGAAUAGGGCACACCUCGGGAUUGCUUCAUGAACGAAGCUACAGUCGUCACAUAACAGAGGCUUCAGUAACGUUUAACUUUUCUCUCUUUUCUUAAAAACCAUGGUUACNGUGCUUGAUUUUGGUUGAAUGUAAAAUGUCCAGCCGACACACACCAAUAUGUUGGUGUUGAACGUCUAGGGACACUUGGCUUUUAAUAUUUUUUUAUUGAAUGGAAAUCCAUUUUUAGAGCACACCGUUAACGUUCCAGCAUAGGAUUUUUUUUUUUUUUUUUUUCGUUCAUGGCCAUCAAUUGUUGAUUCAUUACGGUGGCAACAACUGUCACGGAGAUAAGACAACAUGUUGCUUUAAAAUUCCUUUUCAUAGAAUAGCUACUGUAUGCAUAACAUAUGUGUUGCUUGAUUUCCGUCUGCAGCCGCCACUCACUCUCUUUUUUUUUUUAUUAUGCUUUUAAGAGUCCAGUUGCAACUUCUUUUUAUUGGGUUUGCUGUUAGCAUUGUUAGAGGAUGAGCUCUUGAUUAUNUUUUUACUUGCGCUAUUACAUGAUGGAGUGGCCACCCCUUUUCA